UACGAAGGUCCCGAGCGUUGUUCGGAAUCACUGGGCGUAAAGGGAGCGUAGGCGGCGUGGUAAGUCAGAUGUGAAAUCCCGGGGCUCAACCCCGGAACUGCAUCCGAUACUGCCAUGCUAGAGGAUUGGAGAGGUAGCUGGAAUUCUUGGUGUAGCAGUGAAAUGCGUGGAGAUCAAAGAGGAACACUCGUGGCGAAAGCGAGCUACUGGACAAUAUCUGACGCUGAGGCUCGAAGGCCAGGGUAGCGAAAGGG
rnacentral:rRNA from 1 species